rnacentral:rRNA from 1 species
GACGAACGCUGGCGGCGUGCUUAACACAUGCAAGUCGAACGGUGAAGCGCCUUCCUUUUUGGUGGGUGUGGAUGAGUGGCGAACGGGUGAGUAACACGUGAGUAACCUGCCCCCUUCUUCUGGAUAACCGCAUGAAAGUGUGGCUAAUACGGGAUAUUCUGGGUCUGUCGCAUGAUGGGUCUGGGAUAGAUAUUGUUUCGGUGGGGGAUGGGCUCGCGGCCUAUCAGCUUGUUGGUGGGGUGAUGGCCUACCAAGGCGGUGACGGGUAGCCGGCCUGAGAGGGUGGACGGUCACACUGGGACUGAGACACGGCCCAGACUCCUACGGGAGGCAGCAGUGGGGAAUAUUGCACAAUGGGCGCAAGCCUGAUGCAGCGACGCCGCGUGAGGGAUGGAGGCCUUCGGGUUGUGAACCUCUUUCGCCAGUGAAGCAGGCCUGCCUCGUUUGUGGGUGGGUUGACGGUAGCUGGAUAAGAAGCGCCGGCUAACUACGU